AUACGGAGGGUGCAAGCGUUACUCGGAAUCACUGGGCGUAAAGCGCGCGCAGGCGGCUAUUUAAGUUGGAUGUGAAAGCCUACGGCUCAACCGUAGAACUGCAUCCAAAACUAUUUAGCUAGAGUGUGGGAGAGGAGGAUGGAAUUAGUUGUGUAGUGGUAAAAUCCGUAGAGAUAACUAGGAAUACCAAAAGCGAAGGCAAUCUUCUGGAACACUACUGACGCUGAGGCGCGAAAGCGUGGGGAGCAAACGGGAUUAGAAACCCUAGUAGUCC
rnacentral:rRNA from 1 species